rnacentral:rRNA from 1 species
AUUACUGGGCGUAAAGCGUGCGCAGGCGGUUGUGCAAGACCGAUGUGAAAUCCCCGAGCUUAACUUGGGAAUUGCAUUGGUGACUGCACGGCUAGAGUGUGUCAGAGGGGGGUAGAAUCCACGUGUAGCAGUGAAAUGCGUAGAGAUGUGGAGGAAUACCGAUGGCGAAGGCAGCCCCCUGGGAUAACACUGAUGCUCAUGCACGAAAGCGUGGGGAGCUAACAGGAUUAGAUACCCUGGUAGUCCACGCCCUAAACGAUGUCAACUAGUUGUUGGGGAUUCAUUUCCUUAGUAACGUAGCUAACGCGUGAAGUUGACCGCCUGGGGAGUACGGUCGCAAGAUUAAAACUCAAAGGAAUUGACGGGGACCCGCACAAGCGGUGGAUGAUGUGGAUUAAUUCGAUGCAACGCGAAAAACCUUACCUACCCUUGACAUGCCACUAACGAAGCAGAGAUGCAUUAGGUGCUCGAAAGAGAAAGUGGACACAGGUGCUGCAUGGCUGUCGUCAGCUCGUGUCGUGAGAUGUUGGGUUAAGUCCCGCAACGAGCGCAACCCUUGUCUCUAGUUGCUACGAAAGGGCACUCUAGAGAGACUGCCGGUGACAAACCGGAGGAAGGUGGGGAUGACGUCAAGUCCUCAUGGCCCUUAUGGGUAGGGCUUCACACGUCAUACAAUGGUGCAUACAGAGGGUUGCCAAGCCGCGAGGUGGAGCUAAUCCCAGAAAAUGCAUCGUAGUCCGGAUCGUAGUCUGCAACUCGACUACGUGAAGCUGGAAU